AUAAAUACCUAUUCGGAACAUUAGACCAAGAUGAUAAAGAUGAAAUGGAAGAAAAAAUUAAUACUUUAGUAGACACUAGUGUUCAGAACAUCGAUUUAUACAUAGUCAUCGAUGUCAUAAAUAAUGGAGUUGAUGUAAUCAAUAAAUUAAAGGCAGACGGAGAAAGGGAAAAAACAAAAUAUGUAGAAGAUAUUGAAUUAGGAAUGCAGCUGACGAUUAGGUUUAUUCAAUCCAAAAUUA